rnacentral:rRNA from 1 species
CCUACGGGAGGCAGCAGUGGGGAAUAUUGCUCAAUGGGCGCAACCCUGAAGCAGCAACGCCGCGUGAGUGAAGACGGUUCUCGGAUUGUAAAACUCCGUCUUCUGUGAAGCUAAUGCCGGUACCAGAGCCCGCAGCUCCGGCUAACAACAUGCCAGCAGCCGUGGUAAUACGUAGGGAGCCAGCGUUAUCCGGAUUUACUGGGUGUAAAGGGUGCGUGGGCGGGUUUGCAAGUCAGACGGGAAAGCCAUGGGGUUAACCCAGGAACGGCAGUUGAAACUGCAGAGCUUGAGUGGGAUAGAGGUAGGCGGAAUGCCCGGUGUAGCGGUGAAAUGCGUAGAGAUCGGGAGGAACACCAGUGGCGAAGGCGGCCUACUGGGCUCUAACUGACGCUGAGGCACGAAAGCGUGGGUAGCAAACAGGAUUAGAUACCCCUGUAGUC